GACGAACGCUGGCGGCGUGCUUAACACAUGCAAGUCGAACGGAAAGGCCUGCUUUCCCCUGCGGAUUGGGGGGACUCGCGUGGCGAACGGGCGAGUAACACGGGAGUGAUCUGCCCCCAACUUGGGUAUAAGCCUCGGAAACUGGGCCUAAUUCUCGAUAGGACGGCAGGGUGGGGCCGGGGGCGGAAAACGAGUUUCUACUGGUCGGGGAUGAGCUCGCGGCCUAUCCGCUUGGUGGUGGGGUAGGUUCCUACCAAGGCGGGGACGGGGAGCCGGGCUGGGAGAGUGGACCCCGACAUUGGGACAGGGACACGGCCCCGACUCCUACGGGCGGCAGCGGUGGGGACUAUUGGGCCCUAGGCGGGAGCCUGAUGCGGCGCCGCAGCGUGGGGGGUGUCGGGCUUCGGGUUGUCAACUCCUUUCGACCGCGAGGAAGCCACCUGGUUGGGAGGGUGGUGACGGUAGUGGUAGAAGAAGCACCGGCUAACUACGUG
rnacentral:rRNA from 1 species